rnacentral:rRNA from 1 species
GACGAACGCUGGCGGCGUGCUUAACACAUGCAAGUCGAACGGUGAAGCUCCAGCUUGCUGGAGUGGAUCAGUGGCGAACGGGUGAGUAACACGUGAGCAACCUGCCCCUGACUCUGGAAUAAGCGCUGGAAACGGCGUCUAAUACUGGAUACGAGAAGGGUCCGCAUGGGCACUUUCUGGAAAGUUUUUCGGUUGGGGAUGGGCUCGCGGCCUAUCAGCUUGUUGGUGAGGUAAUGGCUCACCAAGGCGACGACGGGUAGCCGGCCUGAGAGGGCGACCGGCCACACUGGGACUGAGACACGGACCAGACUCCUAAGGGAGGCAGCAGUGGGGAAGAUUGCACAAUGGGCGAAAGCCUGAUGCAGCGACGCCGCGUGCGGGAUGACGGCCUUCUGGUUGUAAACCUCUUUCAGCAGGGAAGAAGCGAAAGUGACGGUACCUGCAGAAGAAGCACCGGCUAACUACGUG